UCAUAGAGAGUUUAUUUAUACUAGUCAUCAGUAAGUCAUUUUUUUUUAAGUUUCUUCAAAGGUGCUCAGAUGUCCUAUUGUUUUAUUUAAAACUUGUAAGUAGUUUGUUACCGUAUGCUUUAGUGUCUCCUGGUUAAUUUCCAAUAGACUCAAUUGUUCGUUUAUUAACUUUCAUCAUUCGCGUCCAUUAUUCCGAAUAAGGUUUUUGUUAUAGAUCCUAUUCCAUCAAUUAUUCCUUAUCGUAAAUUAGCGGUGCUUUUGUAUAUAUUAUUUAUAUUGUCAAUCGUAUUUCGUAUUCGUCCUAAAUUUUUUUCUGUGAUUUUGCGCGAGUUCACACAUAUAUGCUAUGAACGGCAUAUUAACAUUGUUUGAUGGUGAUAUUCUUUUAUUUGGUUGUAACGGUGGUUCAGGGAUUCAAUAUCCAGUUUAAUUACCAUCUUCCAAGUCGCGGCUACUUGGUGAAGUUUUCCCCAUUUAUCAAAGCCCUGGUGUAUUGCAAAAUUCUUGAAGUGUGUAGGGUUGCUUUUCCUCGAGCUCGCUUGUAUAUUUAACACUACUGAAUAUGGUCAUCCUGCAACUAGAUAGUGAAGGAGGAAUGUGAGGUGAAUUAUGCUUUCGUCCGAUAUUUAUACUUUUUUGCUGUAGCCGUCUUUUGUUCGUGUGUAAUGUUCAGCUAUAACUAAAUUUGUUUGUGGUGGUUUCAUUUUGCUUAGACUAUGGUUUCACGGGUCCUCUUAUCUUUCAGUGUCAGCGUUUUUCAAUCAUAUACCACGGUGUGUUAAGGUGGUUUUAGAUCGACAGUUCAGUAGCUCGCUGGCUAUAGAAAUGUGUUGUCCUUAUUGUCCCGGUCGGAGAGAAGAAGUGAUUCGGUGUGCUUGCGGCGAGGUGGUGCCGGGGAUUGUCCUUCAAGUUUUUCAGGAAUUACGACUCCCAAGGGCAAUCAUUCUUCCAGUGAUGGAGGGAAAAGGCGGGCAGCCUCGAGUCCCUCGACGUCGCUUGGGUACCGAUGUUCGGGAUGGUUCCGCAAGACGAGGACCGACUCGCGGCUUGUUAGACGCGGUAGCGGACGGGGUGAAUGGGAGGGAGUGGUUGGAAUGAAUAGACGGGCUCUCGGACGGGGUCACGGACGUCCUAUUGGCCCCCCUUAGAGUACGGUCUUAAGUCGAGAAGAUCUCGCUAGGGCAGAGGCUUUGGCCAACGAAGAAUGUAGCGUUAGGUACAUAGCCAAUGUACUGGUGGUGCCCCGCUCUAUCAUCCGCGAUGGUGUACAGCGGUUUAGGGCCACCAGAAGUCUCGAUCGAAGAGAAGAUAGUGAUCGACUGCAAUGUACGGCUGGAGACGAUCGUUUUAUUGCUCUUACCAUACUACGGAACCGUCAUUUCACGGCUUCUGAAGUAAGCAGUCAACUCGAAACUGUCCGUAAUGUAAGAGUGAGCUCUAAAACAGUUAUUAGACGGCUUCGUGAAAAUUACCUUGCGUCUAAACGUCCCGCAUCAGGUCCUCUACUACUGGAGAGGUAUCAAGUAGAAAGGUGACAAUUCGCAAAUCAACAUCUCGCUUGGACACAUGAACAGUGGGGAGUUGUUCUCUUCACAGAGGAGUGCCGGUUUGGUAUGGGGCAAUUAGUUGACCGGGACCGUGUGUGGAAAGGAUAUGGAGAGCGCUUUGCUCCAUGAGCCAUGUGCGAGUCACAGCCUUUUAAAUUACAAUCAGUUAUGGUAUGGGGUGAAAUCAAUGUCCAUGCCCGUACCGAACUGCUUGUCAUACAGAAUGGAUCUUUGACUGCACUAAGGUAAAUUGAGGAAGUUCUUCUGGAAGCUGUGGUCCCAUUUGCUGCAUUUAUUAUGGAAAAUUUCGUGUUAAUGCAUGAUAAUUCUCGACCGCAAGUAGCUCGAGUUGUCACUCAAUACAUGGAGGAAGUAGUGAUUACCAAAAUGAAUUGGCCAGCAUGUUCUCCUGACAUGAAUCCCAUAGAACACUUAUGGGACAUGAUAAAGAGACGCAUUAGACAUCGUUCACCGCUUCUAAUAAACGUUGAACAGCUUCAAACUAUGCUUGUUGAAGAGUGGGACUCUGUUUCACAAGACGAAAUCCGGACGCGCAUUUACUUAAUGCCUAGGAAACUCGAGGCCCUCCGCAAGGCUAGAGGAGGAAAUACGCGGUAUUAAGAGUGAAAUCGAUGAGAAUUGUUGCUUAAAUUUUAUUUUUUCACUUAAUUAAUUUUAAUUUAGUUUUCAGCUGUUUUGGCAAAUUUGCUUUCAAGCAAUCUUUUUAUUAAAACUCAUGAAUUUCUGACCUCGUUAACUUUCAUUUACAUUAUACUUAAGUACAACAUACGUUUAAUUUAACAAUAACGACAAAAAUACGAAUAGUUUGAAAUAAACAACAAAAUAACCGAGUGUCCGGUUUUUUUUUCCCUGAGUGUAUAUAUAUAAUUAGCAAUUAUCGCCGCUAUACAAUUACAAAAUUCACGCACACAUAAUAUUAAAUAAAGCAAGAAUGUACUGGAAUUCAUCUCACCAUAACUAAGCUCGCAGUGAAAGAGCAUUCAUGUCUAAAAUUUAUUUAAGAGACAUAAUACUGAAUGUCGAACCAAUCAUAUUAUUAGAACAUCACUGACAAGGACCCCGAAUUAAAAAUGAAACGAUAAAUUAACAUGUACCAUCAUAAAGCGAUCGGGCAAACCACGUGAUUCUCAGAAUUUUCUAUCUGUUUGGCAUAACAUAAACAUCUUGGAAGACUUUAUCUGCCUUUCGAAUAAAUCUCAUGUUAUUCGGGCAACAUUAUCUUUGUCAAUAGAAUAAUUCAUUAACGACAUGGCCACCGAUCUACUUUGAUAUCUUCCGAAGCGCGAGCCCCCAAUCCGGUGCUCUCCCCACAUUUGUCGUUGAAGAGUAUAAAAACCCGCGCGCUGCAACCCCUGGGGUUUAUUUAUUAAUCUUUUCAUCCGUUCGUUUGUUUUUUUUUUGCAACAACCAGUUUUAAUAAUUCGACACAAUAUUACCUCUAGAGAGGCUUACUUUCUCAUACGAGGUUAGUCGGUCUGCUCCCUGAGAAUCGAGCGGUUAUAUAAACGCUUCCGGCAACUCAGGCAAUUUAAAUAACAGAGCAGUGAGUUCCAAUCCUAUCGCCUUCACAGCGAGACUCUACUGAGUGUGCACGAAUCUAGUAACAGCCGUCCGUAGCGUAAGUCUUGUUUUAUAUACUCUUAAAAUAAAGUUGAUAUUGCGAUUCCGGGCGAAUCUUCCGACGUAUGAAGUGCCUUGUGUUUUAUUCCAACGCUGCAUCUCAAACCUAUGAACAGAUAGAGCUCUAAUUAAUUAACGAUAAUUCUUGGAGUCUUGCCUAGAGUCUAUCCAGGUGUAAUAAAGCAAGUAGGUCUG